ACCAGCUCGCUCCAAUGGGCUGCUCUUCCUGCAAGCAGAGGACAAAGCAGGCGGCUGCCAAACAACGUUAUAAGGGAGCAUUGCGCAACUUUAAACGAGCAUGGUCUCUAAUUGAUCAGCAACAUAAUGAAAAUGUUAACUGGGAUGAUAAGUGAGGAGUUACUGUAUUGUGCUGCCCAACUGGCUACAGUGGCAAAGAUUCACAUGGUUGUUAGAGGGCAGGACUCCAACUCCAUUGGAAAACUGCAUGCAAUUUGUCACUAAAGACUCAUUCUUGUUCUCAGCAAACAUGGAAGAGGGGAUUAAAGGGCUUGAUCAUCAAUCUUAGUUUCCUCCCUCCUUUAAAAUGCUUCCAUGUUGGAUUCUAGCAGUUGUUUGCUUCAAUUCCAAAUAUCCAUUUAGUUUUUAGAGGUUUUCUCUUGCGGACAUGAAAGCUGAGUUUAAUGUCUGAGCAUUCCUUCUCUUCAAUUAGUCCAGACAGGGCAGAAUAUCAGAAUCAGCCCCUCCCCCUGUUCCAUCAUUACUUUACCUUGUAACGUUUUGGGUGUUUGACUCACCGUUGUAGCAGUCUGGUUCAGUGAAGUAAAUCUUCUAAGUGACACUAAAAAGAGCAAUCAGAAAUUCAGUGGAUUUGUGCCCCAACGUGUGCUGAAAAAGAAUAAAUGGAAAUGACUAAAAGGCCCUAUCGCAUGACACUUGCAAUCUAGAGAGGAUCAUGGAGAAGUACACUUCUUGUCUGAGCCUAUUUGACUUAGUGAUACAAAGGAGAAAUUACACAUAUGAUAUAAUAUAUAAUGUUAGUAAGCUAGGAUUGAUCAGAGACCAUAUUUACCUUUCUUUAGUGUGUGUAACACAAUGGGACCCCCCAAUAGUAAAAAUAAUGCAGUGUCUUUAUGAACUGCACAUAGAGGCCAGGUUGUGUUAUGCAUUAACUGUGGUCUCUAAUAUUAAAAAUCAAAGCAGCCUGAGUUAGGAAUCCAAGCCAUUGUGAAAUCACAGAACUCCUAACUAGGGCAAACUCUCACUGAAGUCCGUGGGGAUUUCUAUGGGAAAAGGCCAAGUUCAGGAUAGUGGCCAUACACACGGGAGAUAGGAAAAGACCCAUCAGGUCACUUGACAUAUCCUGUGGGAUGUAAGUGCAGGACAGCUCCUGCAGAAACAUUUUCAAGUACUCUGUUCAGUCCUUUUUUAUUUAUUUAAUUUUUAAAUCCAUAUCAACUUGAAAUGUUUUAUAACUAUUUCAGAAGUUUGAACAGGUUUACAAAUCAAUGCGAUAUAAACAUCAGCAAGACAGCAUUAAUCAUUACAAAAAUGAGCUCAUCCCUGAGAAGAGAUUAAUUCUUCAUUUCUUUGAGUGUGACCACUUCCACUCGGAAGCCCCAGGAGGAUUACCAAAGGAUCAUUUGAGAAAUUGGCUUCAGCAUUAUCUGUGCUGAGAUCUGGAAUAUACCUUGACUUGGAGGGGGUUACCCUUUAAGAAGAAAACAGAUCUGGAACUGAGAACUAUGCUGAGGGACUUUGACCAAAAAGCAGGGUCUCAGCACCCGUCACCCCCGCACCAGAUGCCGCAGACCCUGGCAGUCGAGCAACAAUAUAAGCAUGAAAUGAAAAUGAUAGAAGUCCAAAUGAAAGAGAAGCAAGCGAUCGCUAAGAUGGAGAAGGAAGCCCACCUGAGAUGCAUGGAGCAGCUAGCGGCUGAGAAAGAAGCUCAUGCAAUGCUGCUUGAAAUCCUGGACAAGCAAAAGGACCAGCCUCAGCCUUUGGGUCCAUCCUGUCUCAACGUCAGGGAAGAGGAAAAAAACCUGUCCAAUUUAUCAGGAAUCUGACUGCCAUGAGGCAUUCCUAGCCACCUUUGCGAGACUGUGCACUAUCCAUAAGAUUCCAGAGAAUAAAUGGAUGCCAAUCCUCUUAAUCAGGUUGACUGGAAAAGCCAGACAGGAAUUUAAUGAAAUGGUGGUAGAGGAUGCUAUGAUAUAUAAGAACUUUGAAGAAACUAUAUGGAAAAGAUUUAAAAUCACCCCUGAGUCUUAUUUCUUAAAGUUUAGAAAUCUUAAAAUGCCUGACAAUAUAAUUUAUGUGGAAUAUAUGUGUAAGCUGCAAAGUUAUGUGAAAAGAAAGGAUUAUUGGGGCAGUGCUGACAGUGACUUUGAUAAGCUGUUAGGUUUGGUAAUACAAGAGCAAUUAUUAUGGGUCGUCACUGAUGAGGUAAAAGCAGCUAUCUGUGACAAAAAACCUUAAGAGUUUUAAAAGCAGCAAAAACUGUUGAUGAAUAUGUUGAGUCCAAAACUCGGGAAGAGUGCAAGCCCCAGGGAAGGGUAAUACCUCUGUUCUUCAGGGUGAAAGGGCUGAAGGGUUUAAAAAUAAACCUAACCACAACUUUGUUAAAAAAACCUCAAGGGAGACAGAUUUGAAAACAUCUUACCACAAAGGGAAACUGGUAGUCUGUCAUCAAUGUUGGACCCUGCCCAUAUAAAGCCAAAUUGCCCAAAGCUUAAAACCACCCCACAACGUGCACCCACAACCCCCAUCAUGAGUGCCAAUGUUACAACCAUAAGUGCUAACACUACCACAUUAGACACAGGGAAAAUUGUGGAGGAGAAAAGUGGCUUCAUAAAUUAUAUUAGAACUGAGUCUUGGGAAGGGAGUGAAGAAUUUAUUAAGAAUUUAUUAUUUAUGCAAGGAUAAAUGGCACUGAGUGUACUGGGUGACAGGACACAGUGUUUCAUGUCACUUUGAUUAAAGAAAGUUUUGUGUGAAGAAGAUAGAUUACCUGGCAAAAAUAUAAAUCUUUUAGCUUUGGCUGAAUAUUCAAUGACUGUGCAUCUGGCUAAAAUCCACCUAGAGUGGGAAAGUUUUAAGGGUGAUAUUGUGAUUGGCAUUAGGAAUUUGCUACCUGCUGAUAUUUCAGUAUGCAAUAACAUUGUAACUAUGUCUAAACAGAUUAAUGUUAUAACCAGUUUCCAGGGAAAGUAUGGAUCUGAUUCCUCUUUUUGCCUGUUGUCAGCUAGGAGAACAGUGACGGGGAGGGUAAUUCCCCCAAGCUGCUGUAUGCUGAGAAUGACACUUUGUCAUCUGAGGAAGAAUUUUAGGAUUUUUUUUAUUCCAGAAUCCAUUCUGGAGUUCAGGGUCGUCCUUGGGAUUUAUGGGUCCCUAUGCAGUAUUAUUAAACUAGUGCCCCUCUGCCCCACGGCAGUCCGGGCUCACGUGUAUUUUAGAUAAGGGUGGUCUUUUGAAGGAUUUAUUUAAAAAACUAUAUGUCUGAAGCUUCAAGCAUUUAAGGCUAAAGAUGAAUACUCAGAUUGUGCAUCUAAAAAUCUAUGCAAGGAUUUUUUAGAGAUGUGAUUUUAUAAUCUUCAGCAACACACUAAUGAAAUAUUUUAAAGCAAAUUUUAAACUAAGGUUCUGUAGACGAACAUGUUCCGAGUAAAUAUUACAGUAAUGCACAACUGUUUUUGUCAGUAAAUUCCGAAACUGACAGUAUAUACCUAGGGGUUGGCAAAUGCCUGUUAAAUGGCUUCAUUACCACUUGAAUGGCUCUUUAACA